rnacentral:rRNA from 1 species
GACGAACGCUGGCGGCGUGCUUAACACAUGCAAGUCGAACGGAAAGGCCCUGCUUUUGUGGGGUGCUCGAGUGGCGAACGGGUGAGUAACACGUGAGUAACCUGCCCUUGACUUUGGGAUAACUUCAGGAAACUGGGGCUAAUACCGGAUAGGAGCUCCUGCUGCAUGGUGGGGGUUGGAAAGUUUCGGCGGUUGGGGAUGGACUCGCGGCUUAUCAGCUUGUUGGUGGGGUAGUGGCUUACCAAGGCUUUGACGGGUAGCCGGCCUGAGAGGGUGACCGGCCACAUUGGGACUGAGAUACGGCCCAGACUCAUACGGGAGGCAGCAGUGGGGAAUAUUGCACAAUGGGCGGAAGCCUGAUGCAGCAACGCCGCGUGCGGGAUGACGGCCUUCGGGUUGUAAACCGCUUUCGCCUGUGACGAAGCGUGAGUGACGGUAACGGGUAAAGAAGCACCGGCUAACUACGU